CCGCCUCGCGCGCCCGUUACUUAAGCCUGCGAGCGCCUGCCGCGCGCUGCCGAGGCUCCUCAGCUGAGCUCCGAGCGGUCGAUCGCCUUCACUCCCGCAGUCCGCGCUCCGCUUGCCGCUGGCUCCACCCGCCAUUGUAGGCCUGUAGUCCGAUAUGGAGCAUGCCUUUACCCCGUUGGAACCCCUGCUUCCCACCGGUGGGACAAGGAAAUGAGAAAAAAGGAUUGUUUGGGAUGAGGUCACCUUCCUUUGGGAGAUGGAGAAAGGCCAGUAACAGAUGACUUCAUUGGUGCCGACCAAUUUCUGACUGAAGACUACAUU